rnacentral:rRNA from 1 species
AUGAACGCUGGCGGCGUGCUUAACACAUGCAAGUCGAACGAAGCAUUUAAGACAGAUUACUUCGGUUUGAGGUCUUUUAUGACUGAGUGGCGGACGGGUGAGUAACGCGUGGGUAACCUGCCUCAUACAGGGGGAUAGCAGCUGGAAACGGCUGGCAAUACCGCAUCAGCGCACAGUACCACAUGGUACAGUGUGAAAAACUCCGGUGGUAUGAGAUGGACCCGCGUCUGAUUAGCUUGUUGGCGGGGUAACGGCCCACCAAGGCGACGAUCAGUAGCCGACCUGAGAGGGUGACCGGCCACAUUGGGACUGAGACACGGCCCAGACUCCUACGGGAGGCAGCAGUGGGGAAUAUUGCACAAUGGAGGAAACUCUGAUGCAGCGACGCCGGGUGAGUGAAGAAGUAGUUCGCUAUGUAAAGCUCUAUCAGCAGGGAAGAUAGUGACGGUACCUGACUAAGAAGCUCCGGCUAAAUACGUG